GUACUAUGAUAAGGAUAAGAUUAUUAACACUUUCCUUAAUGAGAAUGAAAGACCGUCUAUGACCUAUGAAACACACAUGCAGUUAAGGAACUGACACCUACUUCAUGUCAUCUACCCAUAAUUUUUG
ensembl:snRNA